UACGUAGGGUGCAAGCGUUGUCCGGAAUUAUUGGGCGUAAAGAGCUCGUAGGCGGUUCGUCACGUCGGCUGUGAAAUCCCGAGGCUCAACCUCGGGUCUGCAGUCGAUACGGGCGGACUGGAGUACUGCAGGGGAGACUGGAAUUCCUGGUGUAGCGGUGAAAUGCGCAGAUAUCAGGAGGAACACCAAUAGCGAAGGCAGCUCGCUGGGACGUAACUGACACUGAGGCGCGAAAGCGUGGGGAGCGAACAGG
rnacentral:rRNA from 1 species